rnacentral:piRNA from 1 species
UCUUUUGGAAAAACUAGUGGUGGACA